CCUACGGGAGGCUGCAGUGGGGAAUAUUGGUCAAUGGGGGGAACCCUGAUCCAGCGACGCCGCGUGAGUGAAGAAGUAUCUCGGUAUGUAAAGCUCUUUUAGUAGGGAAGAAAGGAUUGACGGUACCUUACUGAGAAGCCUCGGCUAACUACGUGCCAGCAGCCGCGGGAAUACGUCGGGUGCAAGCGUUAUCCGGAUUUACUGGGUGUAAAGGGUGCGUAGGCGGUUUCGCAAGUUAGGAGUGAAAGGCCGGGGCCCAACCCCUGGACUGCGUUGGAUACUGUAUAACUGGAGUGCAGGAGAGGUAGGUGGAAUUAAUGGUGUAGCGGUGAAAUGCGUAGAUAUUAGGAGGAACACCAGUGGCGAAGGCGGCUUACUGGACUAUAACUGACGUUGAGGCUCGAAAGCGUGGGGAGCAAACAGGAUUAGAUACCCGGGUAGUC
rnacentral:rRNA from 1 species